UACAGAGGGGGCAAGCGUUGUUCGGAAUUACUGGGCGUAAAGGGCGCGUAGGCGGCCUGUUAAGUCGAACGUGAAAUCCCCGGGCUCAACCCGGGAACUGCGUCCGAUACUGGCAGGCUUGAAUUCGGGAGAGGGAUGUGGAAUUCCAGGUGUAGCGGUGAAAUGCGUAGAUAUCGGAAGGAACAUCAGUGGCGAAGGCGACUUCCUGGACCAAUACUGACGCUCAGGUGCGAAAGCGUGGGGAGCAAACAGG
rnacentral:rRNA from 1 species